rnacentral:rRNA from 3 species
AGAGUUUGAUCCUGGCUCAGGAUGAACGCUAGCUACAGGCUUAACACAUGCAAGUCGAGGGGCAGCAUUUUAGUUUGCUUGCAAACUAAAGAUGGCGACCGGCGCACGGGUGAGUAACACGUAUCCAACCUGCCGAUAACUCGGGGAUAGCCUUUCGAAAGAAAGAUUAAUAUCCGAUAGUAUAUUAAAACCGCAUGGUUUUACUAUUAAAGAAUUUCGGUUAUCGAUGGGGAUGCGUUCCAUUAGUUUGUUGGCGGGGUAACGGCCCACCAAGACUACGAUGGAUAGGGGUUCUGAGAGGAAGGUCCCCCACAUUGGAACUGAGACACGGUCCAAACUCCUACGGGAGGCAGCAGUGAGGAAUAUUGGUCAAUGGACGAGAGUCUGAACCAGCCAAGUAGCGUGAAGGAUGACUGCCCUAUGGGUUGUAAACUUCUUUUAUAUGGGAAUAAAGUAUUCCACGUGUGGGAUUUUGUAUGUACCAUAUGAAUAAGGAUCGGCUAACUCCGUGCCAGCAGCCGCGGUAAUACGGAGGAUCCGAGCGUUAUCCGGAUUUAUUGGGUUUAAAGGGAGCGUAGGUGGAUUGUUAAGUCAGUUGUGAAAGUUUGCGGCUCAACCGUAAAAUUGCAGUUGAAACUGGCAGUCUUGAGUACAGUAGAGGUGGGCGGAAUUCGUGGUGUAGCGGUGAAAUGCUUAGAUAUCACGAAGAACUCCGAUUGCGAAGGCAGCUCACUAGACUGCAACUGACACUGAUGCUCGAAAGUGUGGGUAUCAAACAGGAUUAGAUACCCUGGUAGUCCACACAGUAAACGAUGAAUACUCGCUGUUUGCGAUAUACAGUAAGCGGCCAAGCGAAAGCAUUAAGUAUUCCACCUGGGGAGUACGCCGGCAACGGUGAAACUCAAAGGAAUUGACGGGGGCCCGCACAAGCGGAGGAACAUGUGGUUUAAUUCGAUGAUACGCGAGGAACCUUACCCGGGCUUAAAUUGCAUUUGAAUAAUCUGGAAACAGGUUAGCCGCAAGGCAAAUGUGAAGGUGCUGCAUGGUUGUCGUCAGCUCGUGCCGUGAGGUGUCGGCUUAAGUGCCAUAACGAGCGCAACCCUUAUCUUUAGUUACUAACAGGUCAUGCUGAGGACUCUAGAGAGACUGCCGUCGUAAGAUGUGAGGAAGGUGGGGAUGACGUCAAAUCAGCACGGCCCUUACGUCCGGGGCUACACACGUGUUACAAUGGGGGGUACAGAAGGCAGCUACCUGGCGACAGGAUGCUAAUCCCAAAAACCUCUCUCAGUUCGGAUCGAAGUCUGCAACCCGACUUCGUGAAGCUGGAUUCGCUAGUAAUCGCGCAUCAGCCAUGGCGCGGUGAAUACGUUCCCGGGCCUUGUACACACCGCCCGUCAAGCCAUGAAAGCCGGGGGUACCUGAAGUACGUAACCGCAAGGAGCGUCCUAGGGUAAAACUGGUAAUUGGGGCUAAGUCGUAACAAGGUAGCCGUACCGGAAGGUGCGGCUG